UCCCUCUCUUCUCUCCCUCUUCUCUCUUCCUUACGCCGCCGCCGUUGCUACCGCGGAUCCGCCACCGCCGUCAUGCAGAGGCAGCGGCUUCGCCGCCCUCCUCCGGCAGUACGGUUGUCUCCGUACAACAGUAGAUCGGUGCUCCCUUCCUCCUCAUCCCUCUCUCUUCUCUCCCCUCUUCACCGUCGCGCCACCAUCGCCGCUGUGGAUCGCCGCCGUCGCGGAGGAUCUCCCCCUCUCCAGCCGCCGACGCCGAUAUCCGAGAGCUUUGUUGGAAGAAUGAUUGUGGAGUAAAUGUUUAUGUGGAGUUUGUGAAGAGAAUUUAGGACAUGCUAUGCUGAUGGUGAUGUGUUAUAGUGAAGAAAGUAAUUUAUAUAGGAGUACAUGUACAUAAAAGAAAGUGGCGUAUAUAAGAAAGUGAAGAAAGUGAUUUGUAUAUAAGAUGCAAGCGGAUACAUGUAUCUCCUAAUAAUAUUGUUUGUCAGUAAUGAUAUCAAUUGUGUCAGAGGGUAUGAUUUCUUCUGCAAUCUAUUAAUGUAGUACUUAAUGCUUUGUCUGAAAAA